CCUACGGGUGGCAGCAGUGAGGAAUAUUGGUCAAUGGACGAGAGUCUGAACCAGCCAAGUAGCGUGAAGGAUGACUGCCCUAUGGGUUGUAAACUUCUUUUAUAAAGGAAUAAAACGAGGCACGUGUGCCUUUUUGCAUGUACUUUAUGAAUAAGGAUCGGCUAACUCCGUGCCAGCAGCCGCGGUAAUACGGAGGAUGCGAGCGUUAUCCGGAUUUAUUGGGUUUAAAGGGUGCGUAGGCGGUCCGUUAAGUCAGCGGUAAAAUUGCGGGGCUCAACCCCGUCGAGCCGUUGAAACUGGCAGACUUGAGUUGGCGAGAAGUACGCGGAAUGCGCGGUGUAGCGGUGAAAUGCAUAGAUAUCGCGCAGAACUCCGAUUGCGAAGGCAGCGUACCGGCGCCAGACUGACGCUGAGGCACGAAAGCGUGGGGAUCGAACAGGAUUAGAUACCCGGGUAGUC
rnacentral:rRNA from 1 species